rnacentral:lncRNA from 1 species
AUGGAGUCCUCCAGGGCCGGCUGCGUGCUGUGGCCUGUGCUCCUCACUGCUUUGGACCCAGGCUGCGCUGUCUCCACCACGACCAAGGACUCACAGAGCUCGCCUGGGGGACCUGGCCCCACAGUCACCCCGUCCGUCAUCAGCCUCAAAUGCCAUCAGCCCGUGAAUGCUGCUCCAUCGUCUGCAUGGCAGCCAAGGAGGAUGGUGCCAGGUGAUGUGGCGAUGAGUGGGCAUCGCGUGGGGGCCUUGGACGAGCGUGGACACCCCAAUCCCCAGACUGGCCAUUGCCGUGGAGGCAGCGUGAGUGUGACAUGGAGCUCGGUGUCGUGCUGCAGAGGACGCCUCGCGGCUGUACGCGUCAUGAUAGCCAGGGACCCCUCCACAUGUCACUUAGCCAAAGGAUGCAGCCCAGCCUGGGGCUUUCUACCCCAGGCCCGAGGACCUGCAGGGACAAGGACCCCUCAGCGCAGAUGCAGCUCUCAUGAGGCCUGAAACCAAGCUGGACUUGCAGAACUGCGCACGCUCCCUUUCUGAAAGAAACACCCGUUACCGGGUCCAGACUGAAUGUGGGCGUAAGAAAGCGGGAAGGGUCCCCCACAGCAAGAGAGAGACCCUCCCAGUCACUUGGUCAUCUGAGCCUUGAGUGUGUCCGGCCCCAGCCACCAGCCUGUCCCCACUAUCCCUCUUGUCAGCACGGCUGAAAGGAGCUGCCUGGGCACCUGAGGUGGCUGAGGCUCAUCUUUGAGGAGCAUGGAACUCGAGGGGAGAAGUCGCGCCCCCAGGGAAGCCAGGAAACUCUGACACAGAACGCCCAACGUGGACACAGGUGCCAGUUCAGCAGUGACCGUCAAGACCGGGGAAGUGCCCUGUGGUGACCAGGAGAACAAGGAGCUCCUCCAGCAAGCAGGGCUGCAGUGGGAGCUGGGAGGGAGCAGUGCACCUGCCAGCGUGGCCGAGUCACACAGUGCCUGCCCUCACCUGUGGAAUUUGGUGUCAGCUAAAAGGAAGAAGAAAUGGAAACUUAAAUUCUAGCCGGUCAUUUUCUUAAAACUGCAAACAUUUCUCUCGAGUGUGGACUGGCCCGGCUUCGGUGAAAGGUGCCCUCCUACCUAGCAGGGUCUCGGCACUCUGCUGUGUUCUUUGCACCGCGGUCACUAUUUCAGAAACACGGUCCUGAUACUCAUCCUGAUAAUCUCUUAAGAGCGCCCGAGAAGAAGAAUGAAACGCCUGUAUAUCCUGGUUAAGUUUCUAUAAAAUAAGAACAUACACGAUUCAUAAAAUUAUAUGAUUAAUGAUCACAGUAUAAUUACAUAAGAAUUUGUUAUAUAUGUUUCUAUAGAAUAAUAACAUACCCACACAAUUAAUAUAAGGGAUAUGUUGUUAACUGGAAGGGUGUAAAGCAGAAGUUCUUCGGCCCGGGCCUGUCGAUGCCCGCCAGGACUGUUUUCAUGCUGCCUGUGCCUCGGCUCACUUACAGAAGUUCUGACUCAAUACAUCUGGGAUUUCUACUUUCAAAGCAGUACAUGUGAUUUUAUGCCCUUAAAGUAUUUAAGAAACAGAAAGUCAAGUGUUUCACCAAUUUCCGUAGGAAGGGCCGCUCACUGCACGGUGGGGCGAUGCUGGGCGCGAGCCGUGUUUCCGUCUAUUGUUGACUUCCUCACGAUGCUGGCUCAGGCUCAGAGCCUCUCAUCACCGCCUGUGAAAUGGGGACCACCCUCCUAAUCUACUAUCCAGACCUGCCUUCUGGAAGCUCAAUUAUCACGAGCACAUGGUGGAAAACGUGGGCCGGUGAAAACAACUUAACAUGUAAAUGUACAUAAUAAAAUUCCAGGCACAAUACAUAUGAACGCUUUUAGAGAACUUUGGGAGCAAAGCAACUGAUGUCCUGCGUGGAAAGUCCUCUUCUCCCCAUGAAAUUAUCUCAAGGAUCUUCCAUGGGAAGAUGUGACAGAACCAGGACACUACUGCUUAAUAUUUAAUAUCAGAUACUCUUAAAUCACAGGAGCAUAACUAAAGUAUUCUUCGUUUCUUUAGUCAAAUCUCCUUUUCUAUAAAAUGGAGACGGCUUUCAUAUGUUUGGGAAACAUUUUAAUAACGAAUUAAUAAACAUUUUAAUAUC